CAGAUCUGUUAAAGACACAUAUAAGGAAGUCAAACUGACAGUAUCUAAAGCCUUGGACACAAACAGACCCACAACUCCUAAACCAGCAGCAAGUUCUCAAUCCUCCAUGACACAAAGUUCAUUCUCCACAUCUUCAGCAUCUGCUGACACCACAACCUCAUCUUCAACAGGAUUUAAAGGUCCUGUUGUUUCAUCCAAACCAGCAUCUAAUGAGAGCGGUGCACAAUAUUCACUCUCCUCAGG